rnacentral:rRNA from 1 species
GAUCCUGGCUCAGGAUGAACGCUAGCUACAGGCUUAACACAUGCAAGUCGAGGGGAAACGACAUCGAAAGCCUGCUUUUGAUGGGCGUCGACCGGCGCACGGGUGAGUAACGCGUAUCCAACCUGCCCAUCACUUGGGAAUAACCUUGCGAAAGUAAGACUAAUGCCCAAUGAUAUCCCACGAAGGCAUCCGAAUGGGAUUAGAGAUUUAUCGGUGAUGGAUGGGGAUGCGU